UCUUGCCUCCCCACCUUCUGCUUAGAGUGCCCCAAGAAUCAUCACCUCAGAUGUGCUUUGUCCCAGCAAAGGAAUCUCACAGACUGGGAGCCAGGAGGCCCGGCUUUGGGGCCCAGCUCUGCCAUAGACUCCUUCAGCAUGUGACCUGUGCCCAGCGAUGACUCCCAGCUCUGCUGGGUCUCAAACCAGAAGAAACAGAACAAGGCCAGAGACACAAUCAAGGAUGAGGAAGGGGCCAGGCCUGGGAUGAGGAUGCAGAGACAAUAAGAACCACCCAGGUAAGUAGAACAGGAGUGCUGGACUGGAAGCCCUGCUCCAGGCUGGCACAACCCACGUGUGUGGCCUGUGUGACUGACUGGCAGGUGACUGAGGGAAGAGCAGUGGGUGCCUGAACGCGCGCGCGCACACACAUGCACACACGCAGGGUCAAAAGAGCCCAAAAGAUUCACAGUCUCCUUUCUAGAGAGGUACAGCAGGCCCAGAGCCACACAGACACACAGUAGGUGACACCCCAGCUCAGGCCCACAAACACACCUGAGGAAGCCCUGCUGCACACUCCUGGACACACCUGCCUUCUCCCCGCAAACGCCCAGGAAAGCUCACUCGGGAAUGUGAGGCCAGUGCUUGGGAGGGUGAUGAGAGUGAGUUGAGGACGGCUUGAGAACACAGCCACCUCUGUGAGAGAGGCGUGACUUGCACUCCUGCCCCCAAAGCUGCCUGCUGCCUGAGUUCCUCGUGAUGAGAGAAAUUAAACCCUGGAUGAUGGUCAAUGGCCGAGAGAAGAGGUGGCUGAGAGAGGAGGCCUCUCUUUGUGGAGGAGACAGGAGUUCAAGUGGAUUCUUCAAACUCUGCCCCUUUGUGGUAAGUCCAGGCUCAGCCAGGCACUCACUGGGCAGCCUUGGCUCACUUGGACUCUGCUAUAAAAUGUCCUCCAUGGUCCUUUCCAGUUCUGACAUUCUUAGUCCAGGGAUCAGAUUCCUGCUCAGAGGUAGCAAAAGGGGAGAAAGAGUAGGGACCAAAAUUAGAAGGCGUAGGGAUGGGGCAGCUGCAUCAAGACAAAUUGGUGAGACAGCUGAGGCCACUGGAGUCUGGGCGGGAUCCUGGGAGAUCCCAGGCUCACUAUCCCUUACUCCCACCCCAGCCUCACUGACCAUUGGGACAGGCAUCUUCACGCGCCAAGCUGAGGCUAUGGGCAGAUAAAUGUGAGCCUGAGGAGAAAAGGACACAGGACCCAGCUUCAGGGACUCCCAAUCUGAUAGGCGAGACACAGAUAUGCAGGGUCUGAGAGUUUUCUGUGUCGGUGUGAGUGAGCAGUGGUCCCUAAAGCAGGUCCAGAGCUUCAGGUCUGAUGGGGACGCUGGCUCCUACUUGAGCGAGCACUGAAUCUAAGGAGUGAAGUAGAACACACGUAACACCUCCACACAUCCCUACAUCUUACAAAAUUAUAGCAACAAGGGCAAAUUAGUCCUGGGUGG
rnacentral:lncRNA from 1 species